UACGGGGGGAGCAAGCGUUGUUCGGAUUUACUGGGCGUAAAGGGCGCGUAGGCGGUCGUGACAAGUCACUUGUGAAAUCUCCGGGCUUAACUCGGAACGGUCAAGUGAUACUGUCGGACUAGAGUACAGAAGGGGCAACUGGAAUUCUCGGUGUAGCGGUGAAAUGCGCAGAUAUCAGGAGGAACACCGAUUGCGAAGGCAGCUCGCUGGGACGUCACUGACGCUGAGACGCGAAAGCGUGGGGAGCAAACAGG
rnacentral:rRNA from 1 species